rnacentral:rRNA from 1 species
CCUACGGGUGGCAGCAGUGAGGGAUAUUGGUCAAUGGGGGAAACCCUGAACCAGCAACGCCGCGUGAGGGAAGACGGUUUUCGGAUUGGAAACCUCUGUCCUCUGAGAAGAGAAUGACGGUAGCAGAGGAGGAAGCGCCGGCUAACGACGGGCCAGCAGCCGCGGUAAUACGCAGGGAGCAAGCGUUGUCCGGAUUUACUGGGUUUAAAGGGGGCGUAGGCGGCCCUGCAAGUCAGCAGUGAAAUCCAUGGGCUUAACCCGUGAACUGCUUUUGAAACGGUAGGGCUUGAGUGAAGUAGAGGCAGGCGGCAUUCCCGGUGUAGCCGUGAAAUUCGUAGAGAUCGGGAGGAACCCCAGUGGCGACGGCGGCCUGCUGGGCUUUAACUGACGCUGAAGCAC